CUACGGGGCGCACCAGUGAGGAAUAUUGCACAAUGGGGGGAACCCUGAUGCAGCAACGCCGCGUGGAGGAUGACGCAUUUCGGUGUGUAAACUCCUUUUAUAUGUCAAGAAAAUGACGGUAGCAUAUGAAUAAGCACCGGCUAACUCCGUGCCAGCAGCCGCGGUAAUACGGAGGGUGCAAGCGUUACUCGGAAUCACUGGGCGUAAAGGACGCGUAGGCGAGUUGGAAAGUCAGGUGUGAAAUCCUACAGCUUAACUGUAGAACUGCACUUGAAACUUCUAAUCUAGAGUAUGGGAGGGGGAGAUGGAAUUAGUGGUGUAGGGGCAAAAUCCGUAGAUAUCACUAGGAAUACCUAAAGCGAAGGCGAUCUCCUGGAACAUUACUGACGCUAAGGCGUGAAAGCGUGGGGAGCAAACAGGAUUAGAUACCCCGGUAGUC
rnacentral:rRNA from 1 species